rnacentral:rRNA from 1 species
GGUUAAGUGACUAAGCGUACACGGUGGAUGCCUGGGCAGUCAGAGGCGAUGAAGGACGUACUAACUUGCGAUAAGCGCAGAUAAGGCAGUAAGAGCCGUUUGAGUCUGCGAUUUCCGAAUGGGGAAACCCAACUGCAUAAGCAGUUACUGUUAACUGAAUACAUAGGUUAACAGAGCAAACCGGGGGAACUGAAACAUCUAAGUACCCCGAGGAGAAGAAAUCAACCGAGAUUCCGGUAGUAGCGGCGAGCGAACCUGGAUUAGCCCUUAAGCACUCGGUGAAGUAGGUGAACAAGCUGGAAAGCUUGGCGAUACAGGGUGAUAGCCCCGUAACCGACGCUUCAUCGAGCGUGAAAUCGAGUAGGGCGGGACACGUGAUAUCCUGUCUGAAUAUGGGGGGACCAUCCUCCAAGGCUAAAUACUCCUGACUGACCGAUAGUGAACCAGUACCGUGAGGGAAAGGCGAAAAGAACCCCUGUGAGGGGAGUGAAAUAGAACCUGAAACCGUGUACGUACAAGCAGUAGGAGCACCUUCGUGGUGUGACUGCGUACCUUUUGUAUAAUGGGUCAGCGACUUAUAUUCAGUGGCAAGGUUAACCGUAUAGGGGAGCCGUAGCGAAAGCGAGUCUUAACUGGGCGCUCAGUCUCUGGAUAUAGACCCGAAACCGGGUGAUCUAGCCAUGGGCAGGUUGAAGGUUGAGUAACAUCAACUGGAGGACCGAACCGACUAAUGUUGAAAAAUUAGCGGAUGACUUGUGGCUAGGGGUGAAAGGCCAAUCAAACUCGGAGAUAGCUGGUUCUCCCCGAAAGCUAUUUAGGUAGCGCCUCGGACGAAUACUACUGGGGGUAGAGCACUGUUAAGGCUAGGGGGUCAUCCCGACUUACCAACCCUUUGCAAACUCCGAAUACCAGUAAGUACUAUCCGGGAGACACACGGCGGGUGCUAACGUCCGUCGUGGAGAGGGAAACAACCCAGACCGCCAGCUAAGGUCCCAAAGUAUUGCUAAGUGGGAAACGAUGUGGGAAGGCUCAGACAGCUAGGAUGUUGGCUUAGAAGCAGCCAUCAUUUAAAGAAAGCGUAAUAGCUCACUAGUCGAGUCGGCCUGCGCGGAAGAUGUAACGGGGCUAAGCAAUACACCGAAGCUGCGGCAAUAUCUUUUAGAUAUUGGGUAGGGGAGCGUUCUGUAAGCCGUUGAAGGUGAAUCGUAAGGUUUGCUGGAGGUAUCAGAAGUGCGAAUGCUGACAUGAGUAACGACAAAGGGGGUGAAAAACCUCCUCGCCGGAAGACCAAGGGUUCCUGUCCAACGUUAAUCGGGGCAGGGUGAGUCGACCCCUAAGGUGAGGCCGAAAGGCGUAAUCGAUGGGAAACGGGUUAAUAUUCCCGUACUUCUGACUAUUGCGAUGGGGGGACGGAGAAGGCUAGGUGGGCCAGGCGACGGUUGUCCUGGUUCAAGUGCGUAGGCUUGAGAGUUAGGUAAAUCCGGCUCUCUUUAAGGCUGAGACACGACGUCGAGCUGCUACGGCAGUGAAGUCAUUGAUGCCAUGCUUCCAGGAAAAGCCUCUAAGCUUCAGAUAGUCAGGAAUCGUACCCCAAACCGACACAGGUGGUCGGGUAGAGAAUACCAAGGCGCUUGAGAGAACUCGGGUGAAGGAACUAGGCAAAAUGGUACCGUAACUUCGGGAGAAGGUACGCUCUUGAUGGUGAAGUCCCUCGCGGAUGGAGCUGACGAGAGUCGCAGAUACCAGGUGGCUGCAACUGUUUAUUAAAAACACAGCACUGUGCAAAAUCGCAAGAUGACGUAUACGGUGUGACGCCUGCCCGGUGCCGGAAGGUUAAUUGAUGGGGUUAGCGCAAGCGAAGCUCUUGAUCGAAGCCCCGGUAAACGGCGGCCGUAACUAUAACGGUCCUAAGGUAGCGAAAUUCCUUGUCGGGUAAGUUCCGACCUGCACGAAUGGCGUAAUGAUGGCCACGCUGUCUCCACCCGAGACUCAGUGAAAUUGAAAUCGCUGUGAAGAUGCAGUGUACCCGCGGCUAGACGGAAAGACCCCGUGAACCUUUACUACAGCUUGGCACUGAACAUUGAACCUACAUGUGUAGGAUAGGUGGGAGGCUAUGAAGACGUGACGCCAGUUGCGUUGGAGCCGUCCUUGAAAUACCACCCUUGUAUGUUUGAUGUUCUAACUUAGACCCAUUAUCUGGGUUGAGGACAGUGCCUGGUGGGUAGUUUGACUGGGGCGGUCUCCUCCCAAAGAGUAACGGAGGAGCACGAAGGUGGGCUAAUCACGGUUGGACAUCGUGAGGUUAGUGCAAUGGCAUAAGCCCGCUUAACUGCGAGAAUGACGGUUCGAGCAGGUGCGAAAGCAGGUCAUAGUGAUCCGGUGGUUCUGUAUGGAAGGGCCAUCGCUCAACGGAUAAAAGGUACUCCGGGGAUAACAGGCUGAUACCGCCCAAGAGUUCAUAUCGACGGCGGUGUUUGGCACCUCGAUGUCGGCUCAUCACAUCCUGGGGCUGAAGUCGGUCCCAAGGGUAUGGCUGUUCGCCAUUUAAAGUGGUACGCGAGCUGGGUUUAGAACGUCGUGAGACAGUUCGGUCCCUAUCUGCCGUGGGCGUUGGAAGAUUGAAGGGGGCUGCUCCUAGUACGAGAGGACCGGAGUGGACGAACCUCUGGUGUUCGGGUUGUGUCGCCAGACGCAUUGCCCGGUAGCUAAGUUCGGAAUUGAUAAGCGCU